rnacentral:rRNA from 1 species
AGGAGUGGAGCCUGCGGCUUAAUUUGACUCAACACGGGAAACCUCACCAGGCCCGGACACCGGAAGGAUUGACAGAUUGAGAGCUCUUUCUUGAUUCGGUGGGUGGUGGUGCAUGGCCGUUCUUAGUUGGUGGAGCGAUUUGUCUGGUUAAUUCCGAUAACGAACGAGACUCUAGCCUGCUAACUAGGCGUAUUUCGACAUCCCAAAGGCCCGCCGGUUUAGGGUUCCGACUCUUUUCCGCGCGCGGUUUUUACUGUCGGCGUACAAACAAUUCUUCUUAGAGGGACAGGCGGCUUCUAGCCGCACGAGAUUGAGCAAUAACAGGUCUGUGAUGCCCUUAGAUGUUCUGGGCCG